rnacentral:lncRNA from 1 species
CAGGGACGCCCUGCAGAGGGGCAGGGCAGGCCGCCGCCACCUGCCGGGAGCCCCGGAUGGGGCGGGGAGCCUCCGGGUCGCGGCGGAAGCGCGGGCCUGGGAACGGGCAGGUGCGCUGGGCUCCCCGGGCGGCGGCCUCCGGCCGGGCAGUGCUCACCCGCCCGCUCCGCAGCAGGAGCAGCAGCCUCCUUCCCGGGGUUUCUGGGCCAAGGGUCCCCCGCUGGCCGCGAGGGCCGGCCCCUGCCCUUGCCCCGCCCCCGCCCCCGCCCGCGGGGACACGGCCGGGCUGUCCCCGCCGCGCACAGGGCCCAGGUCGCCCCACCACCCCGCGCAGCGUGAUUCGGAGUCCCGCUUUGGGGAGGAACAGGAAAGGAUGCCACCAUGAGGAGGGGUUGGCUUCCCCUGCUCAAGGUCACACAAGGCAGGCUUGACCUUGACCCCUUGGCAACAGGGAAGUCAGGAAAGGGAGCCGGCAGCAGCGGCACCUGCAGGGGACCGGGACGGGGCGCUGGGCCCCGCGACCACCCCGCCCUGCACCUGCCGCCGCGAGUGCGGUGCGCGCGUCCCCAGCCCGACCCCCACCCCAAGGGGAAACUGAAGCCCGCGCCCCAGGGGGAGCGGGCGGACGGGCGCCCACGUGGCAGGCGGCGGGAGGGAGGGAGGGAGGAGUCACUCUCUAAAUUGCGGUGAUUUUUUAAAAAAGACAGAACCCGGGACUGGCCACACCAGGAGGCUGCCACGUUCUCCCCUUCCACCCGCCUGAAGCCCAGGGGCCACUUGUGACCCUGCGCAGCUGCGGGAGAGGGCUGACCUCGUUCAUCUGGAGUCCCUCUCCAGGCUCCACUGAUCCCAGACAGGUAAAGCUCAAGCCCGCCCACCCCCCAGAGCCAGCGCCCUGGCAGCAGAACAGUUCCCCUCGGUCCCUGUCUUGUCCACCUAGUACAGAGGGGGAAGAAGCAAGCAGAAAUGCAGGACUGAAGUUAGACUUUAGUUAGGACUUCUCUCCUGGGCCCCACAGACAUGAGGCCACGUCAUUCUCUGGGUGGGCACCCUGGGCAUUGCAGGGUUCUCAGCAGCACCCCUGGCCUCCAUCCACUCUGUGCCAGGAGCAUGUGAUAACCAUAAAUGUCCCCAGACACUGCUCCUGUCCCCUGGAAGUCAGGAUUGAUCCCCAGGUGAGAUCCAUUGCCCUAAAUGGACCAGACUAUGGACAGCUGUAGGCAAGUGGGGCUCUGAGCCAGGCCUUCACCCUCAGUUGGAGCACAUGCUAAGGUUCUGACAGGACCUAGAAAGUAGCCCAGGAGGCCAGCGCCCCUGUGCAGAGGGGCUGGAGCUAGGUGACGGCAGGGCCCUUCUGCCUGAAGGGCCCAUUGCACAGAUGGGAAGACUGAGCUGUGGGUGGACCUAGCACCAGCCCAGAGCAGCUCUCCCUGCUACCUUCUGGGUGAAUACACAGUAAGCUCCCAGCCCUCAGGUGCAAAUGCCCCUCCAGGUGUCAACUCAGGGGCUGCCACUUUGCUGCUCAGAACAUAUUCCUUCUAUGAUGCGCAGGGCUGUCUCAGGGUCAGCAGGACUGGGGGCACUUGGGGUACCCCCAUGAGCAGCACUUUGCCAGCCAGUGCUGAAAUAUUUCCACACCCAGUUUAGCCACCCUGGCGGCUGCUCCAGUGUUAGCGGUCCGCAGAGCCAGGUGUGGCGGCACACGCCUGUGAACCAGUGACUCAAGAGGCUGAGGCAGGAGGAUGGCAAGUUCAAGGCCAGCCUCAGCAACCUAGUGAGAGUUUGUCUCAAAAUAAAAAAUAAAAAGGUCUGGGGAUGUGGCUCGGUGGUUAGGUGCCCCUGGGUUCAAUCCCCAGUACAAAAAAACAAAAACAAAAACAAAAAAAGUCAGCUGUAACUAACAGCUCCUUUGAGACGGAGCCCAGGGGACUUUGCGGUGAGCCUUAGGGACCCUCUGGAGGGGGCUGCACCCAGGCGGCCCUGAAGGCCAGCUCACCUGGCUACUCUCUACCCAUUGUGAAUCCGGGUUGCAAUGUUCCUGACACAAAGGAAGGGUGCGCUCGCAAACACCACGGUGUGAUGUGGUCGGCACCAGGUCCACUCCUCUUGGUUUUUUUUCUCUUUUGCAGAGAUGUGUUCUGCCAAGUCUCCCAGGCUGCUCUGGAACUCCCGGGCUCAAGUGAUCCUCCUGCCUCCGACUCCCAAGUGCUGGAAAAGGCAUGUGCCACCCAGCCCAGCCAUUGUAGUCCAUUCCAAGUGCACAGCUCAGUGGUAUUAAGUGCAUUCCUGAUGUUAUGCACCCGUCCCCACUGUACAUCUCCAGAACUUUCCAUCACCCCGCACUGAACCACUGCCCCAUUCAACACUAGCCCCCACCUCCUAUUUCCUGCCUCUGUGGCUCUGGGGGCUCCAGGAGCUUCAUGCAGGAGGAUCCUGCAGCGUGUGGUGUGUACUCUGGCUCAUUUCACUAGGUCCAUCCACACUCCUGUAGGUGUCAGGAUCCCUUCCUUUUUAAGGCUGCGUAAUAUUCCAGUGUGUGGACAGACCGCAUCGGGUGUGUCCGCUUGUCUGUGCACAGACGUUUGACUUGUUUCCACCUGUUUAUUCCGUAUUUACUUGUUUAUUUUUGGUACUGAUUGAAGCCAGAGGUGCUUAAGCACUGAGCCAAAUCCACAGCUCUCUAUUAUUAUUUGAGGCAGGGUCUCACUAAGUUGCUCAGGGCCUCACACAGUUGCUGCAGCUGGCUUUGAACUUUCGCUCUGCAGCCUCCCUAGGCUCUGGGAUUACAGGCGUGCGCCACCGAGCUGGGCUCCACUGCGCCCACAUCAGCUGCUGUUGGCACUUUGGAACCAGACUCCAUCAGACUCCACCCGAAGUCUUCCAGAAGGUUCUCCUGAUGUCGUGCUGGCCUGCCUCUCUGGGAGUUUAGUGCAGGGCAUGCUCUUUUCUCUCUCCAGUGCUGGGACAGAAACCCAGCCUCAAGCUCCCUAAACAGGUGCUCUGCCACUGAGCCACACCCUGGCCCAAGUUUCUUUCUUUCUUUUUCUUUUUCUUUUUGGUGAUACUGGGGGUGGAUUCCAGGGGUGCUCUGCCACUGAGCUGCACCCCAGCCAGCCCAAGCCUUCCUGAACUCGACAGACCUGUCAUCUCACAUGCAUUCAUUUCCAAGAUGGUUUCUGCAGCUGAACAGCCUCCCUCCUUCCACCAGCUCACACAAGAAGCAGACUCUCGAGGCUGUGGGACAGCGUCCACUCCAACCCUUCGGUGCCCUUGUUUAUCAGGUGGUUAGAUAUUUUGAAUAUCAGUCUUGGAUAUUUAUUCACCCAAACUCCUAUUACAUGACAUUUGGAUCAUCGCCUCUGUUUUGCUUUAAUAAAUAAUGCUACCUCGAA